UUGGAGUUCAUUGUGCUGGGGUUG
rnacentral:piRNA from 1 species